rnacentral:rRNA from 1 species
AUUGAACGCUGGCGGCAGGCCUAACACAUGCAAGUCGAACGGUAACAGGAAGAAGCUUGCUUCUUUGCUGACGAGUGGCGGACGGGUGAGUAAUGUCUGGGAAACUGCCUGAUGGAGGGGGAUAACUACUGGAAACGGUAGCUAAUACCGCAUAACGUCGCAAGACCAAAGAGGGGGACCUUCGGGCCUCUUGCCAUCGGAUGUGCCCAGAUGGGAUUAGCUUGUUGGUGGGGUAACGGCUCACCAAGGCGACGAUCCCUAGCUGGUCUGAGAGGAUGACCAGCCACACUGGAACUGAGACACGGUCCAGACUCCUACGGGAGGCAGCAGUGGGGAAUAUUGCACAAUGGGCGCAAGCCUGAUGCAGCCAUGCCGCGUGUAUGAAGAAGGCCUUCGGGUUGUAAAGUACUUUCAGCGGGGAGGAAGGGAGUAAAGUUAAUACCUUUGCUCAUUGACGUUACCCGCAGAAGACGCACCGGCUAACUCCGUG